CGAUCCCUAGACUGGUCUGAGAGGAUGAUCAGUCACACUGGAACUGAGACACGGUCCAGACUCCUACGGGAGGCAGCAGUGGGGAAUAUUGCACAAUGGGCGCAAGCCUGAUGCAGCCAUGCCGCGUGUAUGAAGAAGGCCUUCGGGUUGUAAAGUACUUUCAGCGGGGAGGAAGGCGUUGAGGUUAAUAACCUCAGCGAUUGACGUUACCCGCAGAAGAAGCACCGGCUAACUCCGUGCCAGCAGCCGCGGUAAUACGGAGGGUGCAAGCGUUAAUCGGAAUUACUGGGCGUAAAGCGCACGCUAGGCUGGUUCCUGUCAAGUCUGGAUGUGAAAUCCCCGGGCUCAACGCGUGGGAACUGCAUUCGAAACUGGCAGAGCUAGAGUCUUGUAGAGGGGGGUGGAAUUCCCGGUGUAGCGGUGAAAUGCGUAGAGAUCUGGAGGAAUACCGGUGGCGAAGGCGAGCCCCCUGGGACAAGAGACUGACAGCUUGCAGGUGCGAAAGCGUGGGGAGCAAACAGGAUUAGAUACCCUGGUAGUCCACGCCGUAAACGAUGUCAACUUGGAGGUUGUGCCCUUGAGGUGUGGCUUGCCGGAGCUAACGCGUUAAGUCGACCGCCUGGGGAGUACGGCCGCAAGGUUAAAACUCAAAUGAAUUGACGGGGGCCCGCACAAGCGGUGGAGCAUGUGGUUUAAUUCGAUGCAACGCGAAGAACCUUACCUACUCUUGACAUCCAAAGAACUUUCCAGAGAUGGAUUGGUGCCUUCGGGAACUCUGAGACAGGUGCUGCAUGGCUGUCGUCAGCUCGUGUCGUGAAAUGUUGGGUUAAGUCCCGCAACGAGCGCAACCCUUAUCCUUUGUUGCCAGCGCUUCAGGGCUGGGAACUUCAUAGGAGAACUGGCCGUGAUCAACUGGAAGAAGGGGGGGAAGACCUCCAGUCAUCCUGGGCCUUACGAGUAUGGCUACACACCUGCUACCAUGGCGCAUACCAAGAGAAUCGACAUCCCGAGAGCGAACCUACCUCAUAAAGUGCGACCUAAUCCCGAAUGGAGUCUGCCACUCCACUCG
rnacentral:rRNA from 1 species